UAUACAUACAUACACAUACAU
rnacentral:miRNA from 1 species